UGGUCAAGUUAUUAAGGGUGCAGGGCGGAUGCCUUGGCACUAGGAGCCGAUGAAGGACGUGAUAAGCUGCGAUAAGCUUCGGGGAGUUGCACGUAAACUUUGAUCCGAAGAUUUCCGAAUGAGGAAACUCACUUAGAGUAAUGUCUAAGUAUCAUUAAAGUGAAUACAUAGCUUAAUGAGGGGAACUCAGGGAACUGAAACAUCUAAGUACCUGAAGGAAGAGAAAGAAAUUCGAUUCCGUAAGUAGCGGCGAGCGAACGCGGAAUUAGCCC
rnacentral:rRNA from 1 species